rnacentral:lncRNA from 1 species
GCAAAAAUACUAAACACAAGAGGGAGAAGGCCACCGCUCUAGCCUGAGACAUCCCCAGCUGGUGGGGCGGUGUCGGACCACGGAGAGCCGCGCCUGCGCACUACAGACUCCGAAGCCAGGGCGACCUCAGGGAGGUGGGCGGGACUGCCCGGGCAUCCGGGUCCCUCACCCCGCCCCCGCUGCAUGAAUGAGAGGCCCGGCGCCCGCCCCUCCCCCUCCGGGCCCGCCCCUCGCCGGGGCGCCGCGGGCAGUCUGCCGCUGCCACCUCAGCCCCGCUCGGUGCCGACUGACGCCCGCCGCUCACCACCCGGAGCUGACGGUCCCAACACGGUCGCCGCCGCCGCUGCCGGCACGACAGAAUUACCCCACAUGAUAGAUGAUCUGCAGUUGACAGAUGAGCACCCUAUAGCACUUCCCAGCAGUUUGGUCAUUUGAGAAAUCAUUUUGGUCACUUGAUAAAAUAUUUUUAUUUCAAGCCAAGUUCUGUUCUUUGUUUAUUUGGCUUGCCCAGAGGUAAGGCUCCUUCUGCAUGUUAAUUCAUGUUAUUCCUCAUUAAGUUCUCUUAUUUCUGGAAAUGGAACUUUUAAAACACCCAGUAUGUCAUCAAUAGAUUUUUUUAAAGUGGCCAUAAGAUACUGUUCUUUUCACUUACUAGCUAGCUGGGAAGAUAAAUAUAUGUAGCAAUACAAAAUCCACUCCAAG